rnacentral:snoRNA from 1 species
CCCUUCUCAGGGUCGCCCCUGGAGAGUUUCCAGUCCUCUACCAGUCUCGGCUACAGGAGGGAGAGUCAGGCAGAGGCCUUCCCAUUCUAUUCCUAGCUUGGCCAGUAGCUAGCCAGUGGAAGGCAAUCUGCUACAAGU